GGGCCCGCACAAGCGGUGGAGCAUGUGGUUUAAUUCGAUGCAACGCGAAGAACCUUACCAGGGUUUGACAUAGUACGAAGUUUUUUGAAAAAAACCACCUUCGGGAACGUACAUACAGGUGGUGCAUGGCUGUCGUCAGCUCGUGUCGUGAGAUGUUGGGUUAAGUCCCGCAACGAGCGUAACCCCUAUCUUUAGUUGCCAGCGGAUAAUGCCGGGGACUCUAAAGAAACUGCCAGCGCAAGCUGAGAGGAAGGCGGGGACGACGUCAAGUCAUCACGGCCCUUACGUCCUGGGCCACACACGUGCUACAAUGGUUGGUACAGAGGGCAGCUACCUAGUGAUAGGAUGCAAAUCUCAAAAGCCAAUCUCAGUUCGGAUCGGAGUCUGCAACUCGACUCCGUGAAGCUGGAAUC
rnacentral:rRNA from 1 species